rnacentral:lncRNA from 1 species
AAGCGCAUGCUAGAGAGAUAUCUCGGGACAUGGAUGGACAACUCCUGUUAGUGGCUUGGAAAAGUCAAAUUUCAGAGUUUCUGAUCAUACAGAAGUAUGAAAGUAUGGAUCCCUCAGCUGUCUCAGCAGCAGCCAGGAAUAGAGAUGGGAUCAUCCAGGAAAUUUCUGUAGGGGAGCCUCUUGUCUAAUGGAGUAAAUCUUUGAGAUAUACACAGGAAAUCCACAAAAUCUACUGAGAACUUUAUGCCAGCAGAAACACUGCCAGUUUGGAUCAAAUGGUACAGAGAGAGAAAAUGAAAGAAGGCUGCUGGAUCCUUAAAAUUCUAUAGGAAAGAAACAAACUGAUAAAACUACUCAGCAGUAAACCUGAGACCUUUCAUAAAAGAAAGAGAGCAUAACUCCAAGGGUGGAGGCUUGAGCUAGAAAGCGUCAUUCCCAGACUGUGGAACCAGAUGGGAUGUUCUUGGCUGGAUUUUGAAAUUGCUUGGGACCUGUGACUCCUUUUUUCCUUCCAUUUUCUUCACCUUUCAGCCAAAUGUCUAUAAUCAGUAUCCUGUGCCUGUCCAACCAUAGUUCUUUGGAAGCAGAUAACUUAUUUCUUGCAUUUCAUAAGCUCACAGACAGAGAGGAAUUUUGUCUCAGAUGGGUGAUAGCCAGAGCCUUACCUACAACCUGAUUUAGGUGAUGAAACUUGAGAUUUUUGAGCUGAGAUUUAGGACUUGAUGCUGUAAUGAGUUGAGAUUUUGGGGACCUUGGGAUGAAGUGAAUGCAUUUUGUAUGAGGGAUAGUUGUGACUGUUUGGAGGCCAGUGGGUAGACUGUGGUAGGCAAGAUAAUGGCCCUGCAAAGAUGUCCACUUCUAAUCCCUAGAACUUUUAAAUAUGUUACAUCACAUGGCAAGAGAAAAUUAAGUCUUCAGAGAGAAUUAACUUUGCUAAUCAACUGAACUUAAAACAAGGAGAGUAUCCUGGAUUAUCCAAGUGAAUACACUGUAAUCACAAGGGUCUUUAAAUGGGGAUGAGGAAGGCAGAAGAGCUGGAAUCAGAGAGAUGGCAGAAAGAUUAGAUUGGACAUUGCUGGCUUUGAAAAAGAAAUAAGCCCACAAGCCAAGGAAUAUGGGCAGCCUCUGAAAGCUGAAAAAGAUAAGAAAGCAGAUUUUCUCCUUGAGCCUUCAGAAGUGAACACAAACCUGCGACACUUUGAUUUUAAUCUAGUCCCCAGUGUGAUAGUAUUGGUGGAACAAAUUACCUUUAGCAGAUAAUUUGGAUUAGUGCCCUUGUAAGAGACAUGAAAGAGAGACCUCCUCUCUCUCAUGUAGUCAAGUGAGUCUAUAUCAAGAAGCCAGCUGUCUGCAAAUCAGGAAGUGGCCUCCUACCAGAUACUGGUUCUGCCAGCACCUUGAGCUUAGACUUUCCAGCAUCCAAAACUGGGAGAAAUAAAUGUUUGUUGCUUAAGCCACCAUUCUAUGGUGUUUUUGUUCCUGAAACCCAAACGAACCAAGACACUUACAUUUUAGACACACAUGCUCAAAUACACACACACACUUUUAUACACAAGUAGCAAACUAUACAUAUUAUCUUAUACAUUGCCUCUUUUGUAAACUUAAAAUAUUUGAGAGAUCGUUUUUUAAUGGCAUAUAGAGAUUUCUUUAUUGCUUUUUACAGUGGCAUUGUAGUCCAUUGUACAGAUUAACUAUAACUAAUUUAAUCACUUCUUUAUUUUUUUGGUAUUUAGAUUGUUUAUAGUCUUUCACUGUAUAAAGAAUGCUGCUGCCACGAUCGGCUUUAUUUCAUACACAUUUUUAUAUUUUUGUUAGUUCAGUAUUGGGAUAGAUUCCUGGAAGUGAGAUUGCUGCAUCAAAAAGUAAAUUUUCCUAGGUAUAGUCAAAUGAAAGGGCUUUGAAAAAAUAAGUAGUUACCAGAGAUUAUUUGUGUGAUGCCAGUGUCUACCGUUUGACUUAGGAAUAGUUGAUGGAAGAGGAGCCAAGAAGGAAGUGUUACAGUUAAGACCAGGGUUGUGAGUGUGGUCAUACUUGUGGAUGCUGAAAACAGAAGAACUGGAAAUGAGAGGAAGACCGUCUAAUAUUAGGUGCUAUGAUUGUUAGAAAGUGACAAGGGUGACUGGGAGGUUGAUGGAUGGCAGCAGGGAGAAGAUGGAAUGGGUGGCAAAGCCAUAAGACAUGAAUCUGAAAUGGUCUGAAGUUUCUAUAAGCCAGUGGGAAGGCCAAGGUCAAGAAGCAAGAGGACCACUGUCAUAGUCAUUUGGGGCUGUUAUAAAAAACAGCCAAAGACUGGUUACAAGAAACAUUUAUUUCACAUAGUUCUGGAGGCUGGAAGGUCCAAGAUCAAGGUGCCAACAGAUCUGGUGUCUGGUGAGGGUCCACCUCCUAGUUUGCAGAGGGCCAUCAUCUCAUAUCGUUAUAUGCUGGGGAGCGGAAGGUAGGAAGCAAGCUGUUUUAUGUCUCUUCUUAUAAGGGCCCUAAUCCAUUUCAUGAGAGCUCUUCCCUCAUGACCUAAUUACCUCCUAAUACUAUCACACUAGGGGUUAGGACUUUAACAGGAAUUUGAAGGCAGGCGGGCAGGGGGCGGGGGUACACGAACAUUUAGUCCAUAGAAGUUAUCCAAGCCUGAGAUUCUGCGGAUGUGAAAGAUGAAACAGAAAACCACUAGAGGACCUCAGGGAAAGAGUGUCCUAGGGGACAGCUAGAUUAAAUCAAAAGGUGACUGGAAUGUCCUGAGAAGACUUUCAGAGUGUGGGAGUGCUUUUCAUGGCAUGGGAGGACACUCUAGAAGUAUUUAGGAGGACAGGGGGAGGUGGUGGUUUGCAUCACAAAAGGGAGUCACAGAGAGAGAUUAACUAGGGAUUUGGGGGUUGUUGGAGGACUAGCAGUAACUGAAGUGAUUAGGGAUGUGUGGUGUUGAGGCAUGGUUGACCACCUCCCCAGAUCCAUUCCUCACUGAACCUUCCCCCACCUCAUUCUCCUUUCUAAAAGAGCCUUGAGGCGGUUUAGCUAUCUCUCUUCAAGCCUUGUAUCUGUCCUUCCCUAGCCCUAGGGAGUGGGUACUAAAGCCAUCAUGAACAUCCUGGUUUUAUACCCAAUAUUUGGUUUAGGUACAGACAUGUGAUGAAAUUCUGUCUAAUGGAAAGCAAUAGGAUGUAUUCUGGGAAUUAUUUUCUAACUCUUCAUAAAAUAUACAAGGAAAAGAUAGCCACUCUUUUACUUGUAGAAGUUAUUGUUUCUGGUAUAAUGCUCGGAACUCCUGUCGUCAUCUGGGACCAUGAAGACUGACAUUAAAAAGGCCAUUUGCUGAGCCUGGCAGAACAAAAAGUAGAAGGAAUCUGGGUUCUUGAUGACCACAUAGGCUACUGAGUCAGCAAGCUCUGAAGCUGCCAUUCUGUUGUGGGACAUAGUUAAUGUCCUUAUAUACAACUUUGAGUUGGGCUAUUCUUUGCAUCCACAACUGUAAUAACUGACACCAUGAGGCUGAAGAAGAUUAGAAAAUAUACUUCUUUGUCAUACACAUGACCAUCCCCAACAGCAUAGGGACUUACCACUAAAACUAUAUGAAGAAAUAGAUAUAUUGGUAGAGGAGUUCCCAUCGUGGCUCAGUGGUUAACGAAUCCAGCAGGGAACCAUGAGGUUGCGGGUUCGAUCCCUGGCCUCGCUCAGUGGGUUAAGGAUCUGGCACCAUGAACUGUGGUGUAGGUCAUAGAUGUGGCUCAGAUCCCAAGUUGCUGUGGCUCUUGGUGUAGCCUGGCGGCUACAGCUCCAAUUCUACCCCGAGCCUGGGAACCUCCGUAUGCCACAGCUGCAGCCUUAGAAAAGAGCAAAAAAAAAAA